AACGAACGCUGGCGGCAGGCCUAACACAUGCAAGUCGAGCGCCCUCGCAAGAGGGAGCGGCGGACGGGUGAGUAACGCGUGGGAAUCUUCCUCAAGGUACGGAACAACUCAGGGAAACUUGGGCUAAUACCGUAUGAUGUCUAGCGACCAAAGAUUUAUCGCCUUGGGAUAAGCCCGCGUCGAAUGAGGUAGUUGGUGGGGUAACGGCCUACCAAGCCUGCGCUCUGUGGUUGGUCUGUGAGGACGAUCAGCCACAUUGGGACUGAGACACGGCCCAAACUCCUACGGGAGGCAGCAGUGGGGAAUCUUGCGCAAUGGGCGAAAGCCUGACGCAGCCAUGCCGCGUGAAUGAUGAAGGUCUUAGGAUUGUAAAGUUCUUUCGCCCGUGACGAUGAUGACGGUAACGGGAGAAGAAGCCCCGGCUAACUUCGUGCCAGCCGCCGCAUAAAAC
rnacentral:rRNA from 1 species